CAAUGUAUAACUUCACUUGUUUAUAUUUCAGUAAAAUCAUUGUCCAUACUUUAUUUGUAAAACUUGUCACUGUCACUUUAUUUUUUAGAUGCUUUUAUUUUGAAAAGUACGUUUUAUUUUGGUACUCUUGGCACCGGCACAUUUCUGCAGACUCGCGCUACUUUCCUCAGUUAGCUUCAGGCCCCACUGAGGAGAAGUGUGAAGUUAGAAAGCUGAUGAAGCCAUUUCCUGCUUUAAUUAUUAUAUUCUGUUUUGCACAGAGAAUAAAUCCUGGUUGGCAAGAAGGAAGUCGUUCUCAUUUACACAACAUAACACAACGCAGAGAUCACAUGUGGCGUCAAACCAGACCGGUUACACCUGUAUCAGCGAGAGCAGCAGCGCAUUUACAACUGGGAGAUAUAACCACUAUUUUCAAUUUGUGGGGAUAAAGGACGCAACAAAUAUUAUGGUCAAAUGUAAACUGUGUGCAGGACAGAAAGCAUUGUCCACAUCGAAUAACAGCAAUGCCAAUCUCCUGAAGCGCCUAACUAAUGUACAUGAGGCUAUAAAACUAGUCGCCAAAGACCCCACCGUCUCAACCAGCGGCAGUGACCCAGAUGGAGCAACACCGUCUCAACCAGCGGCAGUGACCCAGAUGGAGCAACACCGUCUCAACCAGCGGCAGUGACCCAGAUGGAGCAACACCGUCUCAACCAGCGGCAGUGACCCAGAUGGAGCAACACCGUCUCAACCAGCG